rnacentral:rRNA from 1 species
UGGGGAAUCUUGCGCAAUGCGCGAAAGCGUGACGCAGCAACGCCGCGUGGGGGAAGAAGGCCUUCGGGUUGUAAACCCCUUUCAGGAGGGACGAAGGUGCGGCGGCGAACAGCUUGCCGUACUGACGGUACCUCCACAAGAAGCCCCGGCUAACUACGUGCCAGCAGCCGCGGUAAUACGUAGGGGGCUAGCGUUGUCCGGAAUCAUUGGGCGUAAAGCGCGCGUAGGCGGCCCGGUCAGUCCGCUGUGAAAGUCAGGGGCUCAACCCUUGAAAGCCGGUGGAUACUGCCGGGCUAGAGUCCGGAAGAGGCGAGUGGAAUUCCUGGUGUAGCGGUGGAAUGCGCAGAUAUCAGGAGGAACACCUAUAGCGAAGGCAGCUCGCUGGGACGGUACUGACGCUGAGGCGCGAAAGCGUGGGGAGCGAACAGGAUUAGAUACCCUGGUAGUCCACGCCGUAAACGAUGGGCACUAGGUGUGGGAGGUGUC